rnacentral:rRNA from 1 species
UACGAAGGGGGCUAGCGUUGUUCGGAAUUACUGGGCGUAAAGCGCGUGUAGGCGGGCCGUUAAGUCGGGGGUGAAAGCCCAGAGCUCAACUCUGGAACUGCCUUCGAUACUGGCGGCCUGGCGCAUGAUAGAGGCGAGUGGAAUUGCGCGUGUAAAGGUGAGAUUCGUAGAUAUUCGCAGGAACACCAGUGGAGAAGGAGACUCCCUGGUUCAUUGCUGACGCUGAGACGCGAAAGCGUGCGGAGCAAUUAGC